rnacentral:ncRNA from 1 species
GCCAUGGGGAUCGCGAUCUCCCCACGAGGCGACAGGCCCAAGCAUCGCAUCCGCAAACUUUCAUUCACGGAUGCAAAAACCAUG